rnacentral:rRNA from 1 species
CGGACGGGUGAGUAACACGUGGGUAACCUGCCCAUCAGAAGGGGAUAACACUUGGAAACAGGUGCUAAUACCGUAUAACAAUCGAAACCGCAUGGUUUCGGUUUGAAAGGCGCUUUUGCGUCACUGAUGGAUGGACCCGCGGUGCAUUAGCUAGUUGGUGAGGUAACGGCUCACCAAGGCAACGAUGCAUAGCCGACCUGAGAGGGUGAUCGGCCACAUUGGGACUGAGACACGGCCCAAACUCCUACGGGAGGCAGCAUG